CAUUUGGGGUCUUGUGAUUGCAAUGAGAACAAUUUAAACCACUUAUCGAGUAACAAUUGGAGGGCAAGUCUGGUGCCAGCAGCCGCGGUAAUUCCAGCUCCAAUAGCGUAUAUUAAAGUUGUUGCAGUUAAAAAGCUCGUAGUUGAAUUUCUGGCCGGCGCUGUUCACGGCUCUCGUAGUCGGUUCAGGAGCCUGGUCAUCCGUAUGGGAAGCUAGCUCGUCCUUCGGUGGUCGGCUAGUGGAUCAUACACUUUACUUUGAAAAAAUUAGAGUGUUUCAGGCAGGCAAUUGCUUGGAUACCUCAGCAUGGAAUAAUGGAAUAGGACCUUUGACCUAUUUUGUUGGUUUCUGGGGCCAAAGUAAUGAU
rnacentral:rRNA from 1 species